UACGAAGGGGACUAGCGUUGUUCGGAAUCACUGGGCGUAAAGCGCACGUAGGCGGAUAUGUCAGUCAGGGGUGAAAUCCCGGGGCUCAACCUCGGAACUGCCUUUGAUACAGCAUAUCUUGAGUCCGAUAGAGGUGGGUGGAAUUCCUAGUGUAGAGGUGAAAUUCGUAGAUAUUAGGAAGAACACCGGUGGCGAAGGCGGCCCACUGGAUCGGUACUGACGCUAAGGUGCGAAAGCGUGGGGAGCAAACAGG
rnacentral:rRNA from 1 species